AACGGCCGUACCAUGCUGAAUAUACCGGUUCUCGUUAGAUCACCGAAGUCAAGCAUCAUUGGGCGCGGUCAGUAACCUGGGAU